AAUCGCGGAUCAGCAUGCCGCGGUGAAUACGUUCCCGGGCCUUGUACACACCGCCCGUCACACCACGAGAGUUUGUAACACCCGAAGUCGGUGGAGUAACCGUAAGGAGCUAGCCGCCUAAGGUGGGACAGAUGAUUGGGGUGAAGUCGUAACAAGGUAGCCGUAUCGGAAGGUGCGGCUGGAUCACCUCCUUUCUAAGGA
rnacentral:rRNA from 1 species